rnacentral:rRNA from 1 species
UACAGAGGGUGCAAGCGUUAAUCGGAAUUACUGGGCGUAAAGCGUGCGUAGGCGGAUGAUCAAGUCAGAUGUGAAAUCCUCGGGCUCAACCUGGGAACUGCAUUUGAUACUGGUCGUCUGGAGUGUUGUAGAGGAAAGCGGAAUUCCCGGUGUAGCGGUGAAAUGCAUAGAUAUCGGGAGGAACACCAGUGGCGAAGGCGGCCACCUGGACAAAUACUGACGCUGAGGCACGAAAGCGUGGGGAGCGAACAGG